AAAUUAAAAAAAAAAAGAAAAAAAAAUAAAGGAAAAAGAAAAAAUAU
rnacentral:ribozyme from 12 species